CGGGUGAGUAACACGUGAACAACCUGUCCUCACGUUCCGAAUAAUUGGGAGAAAUCCCUUGUAAUGCGGGCGAGGAACUUGAUGGGGCAUCUCGUCGAGCGGGAACGCGCAAGCGGCGCGAGGAGGGGUUCGCGGCCUAUCAGUUUGUUGGUGGGGUAACGGCCUACCAAGACGACGACGGGUAGCUGGUCUGAGAGGAUGGUCAGCCACAUUGGAACUGAGAUACUGUCCAG
rnacentral:rRNA from 1 species